rnacentral:rRNA from 1 species
CGGUGUCUAAUACCCGAUACCUGCAUGGGGAAAGUUUUUUCGGUGGGGGAUGUGCUCGCGGCCUAUCAGCUUGUUGGUGGGGUAAUGGCCUACCAAGGCUUCGACGGGUAGCCGGCCUGAGAGGGUGACCGGCCACACUGGGACUGAGACACGGCCCAGACUCCUACGGGAGGCAGCAGUGGGGAAUAUUGGACAAUGGGCGGAAGCCUGAUCCAGCACGCCGCGUGAGGGAUGACGGCCUUCGGGUUGUAAACCUCUUUCAGUACCGACGAACGCCGAUGAUGGUGGUGACGGUAGGUACAGAAGAAGCACCGGCCAACUACGUGCCAGCAGCCGCGGUAAUACGUAGGGUG